GAUGAACGCUGGCGGCGUGCUUAACACAUGCAAGUCGAACGGGAAAUACUUUAUUGAAACUUCGGUGGAUUUAAUUUAUUUCUAGUGGCGGACGGGUGAGUAACGCGUGGGUAACCUGCCUUAUACUGGGGGAUAACAGCCAGAAAUGACUGCUAAUACCGCAUAAGCGCACAGAACCGCAUGGUUCGGUGUGAAAAACUCCGGUGGUAUAAGAUGGACCCGCGUUGGAUUAGCUAGUUGGCAGGGCAGCGGCCUACCAAGGCGACGAUCCAUAGCCGGCCUGAGAGGGUGAACGGCCACAUUGGGACUGAGACACGGCCCAGACUCCUACGGGAGGCAGCAGUGGGGAAUAUUGCACAAUGGGGGAAACCCUGAUGCAGCGACGCCGCGUGAAGGAAGAAGUAUCUCGGUAUGUAAACUUCUAUCAGCAGGGAA
rnacentral:rRNA from 1 species